AUCUUGCGCAAUGCGCGAAAGCGUGACGCAGCAACGCCGCGUGGGGGAAGAAGGCUUUCGGGUUGUAAACCCCUUUCAGGAGGGACGAAGGUCGGGCCGUUAAUAGCGGUUCCGACUGACGGUACCUCCAGAAGAAGCCCCAGCUAACUACGUGCCAGCAGCCGCGGUAAUACGUAGGGGGCAAGCGUUGUCCGGAAUCAUUGGGCGUAAAGAGCGUGUAGGCGGUCCGGUAAGUCCGUUGUGAAAGUCAAGGGCUCAACCCUUGAAUGCCGGCGGAUACUGCCGGGCUAGAGUCCGGAAGAGGCGAGUGGAAUUCCCGGUGUAGCGGUGAAAUGCGCAGAUAUCGGGAGGAACACCAACGGCGAAGGCAGCUCGCUGGGACGGUACUGACGCUGAGACGCGAAAGCGUGGGGAGCAAAC
rnacentral:rRNA from 1 species